AUUGAACGCUAGCGGGAUGCCUUACACAUGCAAGUCGAACGGCAGCACGGACUUCGGUCUGGUGGCGAGUGGCGAACGGGUGAGUAAUGUAUCGGAACGUGCCCAGUAGCGGGGGAUAACUACGCGAAAGCGUAGCUAAUACCGCAUACGCCCUACGGGGGAAAGCAGGGGAUCGCAAGACCUUGCACUAUUGGAGCGGCCGAUAUCGGAUUAGCUAGUUGGUGGGGUAACGGCUCACCAAGGCGACGAUCCGGAGCUGGUUUGAGAGGACGACCAGCCACACUGGGACUGAGACACGGCCCAGACUCCUACGGGAGGCAGCAGUGGGGAAUUUUGGACAAUGGGGGAAACCCUGAUCCAGCCAUCCCGCGUGUGCGAUGAAGGCCUUCGGGUUGUAAAGCACUUUUGGCAGGAAAGAAACGUCGCGGGUUAAUACCUCGCGAAACUGACGGUACCUGCAGAAUAAGCACCGGCUAACUACGUG
rnacentral:rRNA from 1 species